rnacentral:rRNA from 1 species
AGAAUGAACGCUGGCGGCGUGCUUAACACAUGCAAGUCGCACGAGGCGGGGGGGGCAACCCCUCCAGUCGAGUGGCGGACGGGUGAGUAACACGUGGGUAACCUGCCCGGAUGUGGGGAAUACCUCGGGGAAACUCGAGCUAAUACCGCAUGACAUCUUCGGGACGAAAGUCCUGACGAUCAAAGCGGGGUCGCAAGAUCUCGCGCUUCCGGAUGGGCCCGCGCCCGAUUAGCUAGUUGGCGAGGUAACGGCUCACCAAGGCGACGAUCGGUAGCCGGCCUGAGAGGGUGAUCGGCCACACCGGAACUGAGACACGGUCCGGACUCCUACGGGAGGCAGCAGUGGGAAUCUUGUGCAAUGGGCGAAAGCCUGACGCAGCAACGCGCGUGGAGGAUGAAGGCCCUUGGUUCGUAAACUCCUGUCGGCUGGAAGAAAUCGGUUCGGGCUAAGUACCCCGGACGUUGACUGUACCAGCAAAGGAGCCCCGGAUAACCUCUAGU